GUGACGAGCCUGGGCCAAAGCCAAACUGCUUUUUUCAUAUUGUGACAUAACCUUUUUCUGUGUGCAUUGGGCUGGUGAUAGUCACUGUGGUCAGAAGCUUUCUGCGUGUUACAAGCAUGCUGCCGCUUCCUUGCAAGAAUGCCUGACUGUGUCAUGGCCUCCAAGGAAUGGUUACAUUAAAAGAGCAGCUCCCCUGCCUCUGGAGCUCAGCCCAUUACCCACUCCACCAUGGCUCAGUGCAGAACUGACUCAGACCUGUGAGUACAGGAGAGAAGAGAAACAUGUAACAAUGCAGCUGAGACACUGAGGGAAAAGGACAGAAAUCUGGGCACUCCAUGCUGGGAGGAGAAGAACCUGAAGCCCCGGUGGCAGAGGAAAAACAGCUGGAGGUGGAACUGACUCAGGAGAAUCUGUGUCUGCGGGUAAAGCAAUGAGAGAAACAGAGUGUUCGGUUCUAAACAGAGCAUCGCUGUUAAUGCUACCGCCAGCAAGGCUCCGUGAACAUCACCAAAGAAUGGAAGAACGUGGGAGCCACAGGGUGGGGAGCAGUGCUAUGAAAUCCUGUUUUCCGGGCUCAUCAUGAUCACCGGGGUUAUGAACGCACUGUAGCUAUGGUUCCGUGAACCAGACCUAUGUAUGAUCAGUGCAGCCAAAAUCCCGGAUAGAUGACUGCCAGAUCCCGUGCUAUACUCAGUGAUGAAUGUGAUGGAGUAGAGAGGGUCAUUUUAUUGUUGAGUGUAUGGUUGCUGGUAGUUUCCCAGGCCAGUGGGUGCCCCCCCCGCACAUAGGCAGCAUUAACUGGACUUAGUGAUUAUUUA